rnacentral:tRNA from 1 species
GCGAGUGUAGCUCAAUGGCUAGAGCGCCACCUUGCCAAGGUGGAAGUUGUGGGUUCGAAUCCCGUCACUCGCACCA